ensembl:lncRNA
UUUUUUUUUCUCAUUAACCUUUUAUUUUUAACUUAGUUUUACAGUAGAGAAACAGAAAAGUAUUAUCAUUAAAAAAAUACCAUAGCUGUCAAUCUUAAAUGUUAAAUGAGAUUCUUGUUAAAGCAGUAACACUACAUCCUGUAAUUACAUCUUUACUUGUAUAUACAAGAACAGUGUGCAAAGUGCUUUUCAAACUAUAAAAUAAGACUUUGGAAUAGGAUACAAAUGGUUAUCCCUAGGAGCUAGUUACCUCCAACUGCUUGUCACGAAUCACAACUGCUUACAUUCUUACUCUGCCUCUUAUUUCCUUAUAUACUAAGAGAAAAGCCACCAUUUUCUGAUACCAGAUAGAGGGCUAAUUUUUUAGGAUAAUUCCAGAUCCACAGGUUUAAGUUUUAUUGUUACAUAUAAUUCAGUUACUGGCUUCAUUUUUUUCCUCUAAAUAAAUAGAGGACAGCUUUUUAAAAGCAAAUAAUUGGUAGAUCCAUUUAGACAGACACAUUUUAAUCAAGAUGGGAUUAAAAAAAAAAAACACCAAGUUACAUGUAAGAAAAAAUCAAGGGAAAAAACAGUCUUCAGAAAAGCAAAUCACAUUCUUUCUUCAGGUAAACAAAGAACCACCCUCUAUACUAGGGACAGAUUACUUUCUCUCUUAUCAAAAACACUCUAAACACAUGAUGCUAAAGCCAAUAUCACACAUACCAAGAAUAUUUAAAAAUCAUUUGAUACUAAGCCUUUGAAUCAGAGAAAUCUUGGAAGUAUAAGUAAGGUACAUCUACAUGAGCAGGGAGUUUCAAAAGGUAUACAAGAAGGAUAAUUCCAAAGAAAGUCUUCAAGAAUCUAAAUUACAGUCUUCUUUUUAGUCUAUAGGUGGGGGGUGGGGGAAAGACUUAAAUUUACAUUAGUUGGGUGUGUCUUAUUCAAAUGGAAGCAUAUGGCCUGCUAGCUUUCAAAUCCCUCCAACACCCCUUGAGAAAUAGGUACGUCUCCAAUAUUUUACCCCGAAGAAAAACUGAGGCACUAAGAGGUUAAGAGUCCAGUCUGUGUGGUUUAUACCAGUUGAAGAAAAGUGAUUUUUCAUGUGUUUCCUUUUGACCUUUGUAAAAACAGUAUAAAUAAGUUUUCAUUUUAUAUUUCAAAGCACCCUAUGAAGCAGAAACAAGAUAUUCUCAGUUAAAGGAAAAUGAUUACAAAGGAAUCCACGUAUAUAACUGAAUACAAAUCUUAUUAAUGAUCUGCAGACUCAGAACACACUGACAAACCUACUUUAAGCCCACUCUUCAUCAUUUCCAUUAGUCGGUAAGGUCUAUUCUGUGAAUCAUUUGUAAAAACAAAGCCUAGUACACAGGGCUCUGCUUUGUCAUGAUGCCUGAAGCUGAAGUCAGAGCUGUGCGUGCCCAAGCGGGAUCUUGAGCAGCCCACAGAGUGGGUGUGGAGAAGAUUCUUCCAGUCUUUCUCCAGUAAAUUGCAUGGUGGUUCAGUGACUUAAAAAGACGGUUGAUUUAUCAGUUGAAAUUCACUCUUAGUUUGCAUACUUUCUCAUAUUUAAUUUAGAAAGUUAAAAAUACCCAGUUAUAAAUCUGUUCUCAUCAUCACAACUAUACCUGGGAAAAGCAGCUUAUCAUUCUCUAUGGGAGAUAAUCAGGUAAACAUGUUACCAGACAGUAAUUAAUAAUUUAAUGUCCUUCGAAGUCAAGGGUAGGGGAAAUCUAUGCUACUUAUCACCUAGUUGAGAUUGAUUAUUCAAGUAUCAGCAAUAUUAGUCCUUAAAAUGUUUAUCAUUUGUGUAGUGCAAAAUAUAUAUAUGUAUAUAUGUACACAAACCAAACUACUAGACAACAAAAAUGUAAUCAUCACAAACUAGGAUUUUCGUGUG